GCCGAUUUCGAUAUGAUCACCGAAGUUAAGCAACGUCGAUUCUAGACAGUACCUAGAUGGGUGACCGCUUGGGAAUAUUAGGUGCUGUAAG